AUACUUACCUGGCAGGGGCGAUAAUCAUGAUCACGAAGGUGGUUUUCCCAGGGUGAGGCUUAUCCAUUGCACUUUGGAGGUGCCAACCCCUGUGAUUUAGAAUGUGGGAAACUCGACCGCAUAAUCUGUGGUAGUGGGGGACUGCAUUCAUGUGUUCCCCUG
ensembl:snRNA U1 U1 spliceosomal RNA